GGCAACAUUGUGUAGUGGUUUAAGCAUUGGACUAUGACUCUGAAGACCAGGGUUUAAAUCCCUAUACAGCCA